CCUGCCUCUGGAGGCAUUGCAGAUGUGUCUGCUGUAUCACAUGUGUGUCAAUAGGUGGUAGAGAGGAGAGAGUCUGUGUCUAUACUGAGUAUUCUGAUCUAACAGUCUAGCCCC
ensembl:snoRNA LOC120102689 small nucleolar RNA SNORA17